rnacentral:rRNA from 1 species
UGGGGAAUCUUGCGCAAUGGGCGAAAGCCUGACGCAGCGACGCCGCGUGAGCGAUGAAGGCCUUCGGGUUGUAAAGCUCUGUGGAGGGGGACGAAUAAGGGUUGGCGAAUACCCAGCCCGAUGACGGUACCCCUUUAGCAAGCACCGGCUAACUCUGUGCCAGCAGCCGCGGUAAGACAGAGGGUGCGAACGUUGUUCGGAAUUACUGGGCGUAAAGCGCGUGUAGGCUGUCCGGAAAGUCGGGUGUGAAAGCCCUGGGCUCAACCUAGGAAGUGCACUCGAAACUCCCGGACUCGAGUCUCGGAGAGGAAGGCGGAAUUCUCGGUGUAGAGGUGAAAUUCGUAGAUAUCGAGAGGAACAUCGGUGGCGAAGGCGGCCUUCUGGACGGUGACUGACGCUGAGACGCGAAAGCGUGGGGAGCAAA